rnacentral:tRNA from 1 species
GCGCCCGUAGCUCAAUUGGAUAGAGCGUUUGGUUUCGGCCCAAGAGGUUGAGAGUUCAAGUCUUUCCGGGCGUA